rnacentral:rRNA from 1 species
ACUCCUACGGGAGGCAGCAGUAAGGAAUAUUGGUCAAUGGACGAAAGUCUGAACCAGCCAUCCCGCGUGCAGGAUGACGGCCCUAUGGGUUGUAAACUGCUUUUAGCAGAGACGAAACGCUGUCAUUUAUGAUGGUCUGACGGUAUCUGCAGAAUAAGCACCGGCUAACUCCGUGCCAGCAGCCGCGGUAAUACGGAGGGUGCAAGCGU